GGCCUCUAUUUAUAAGCUAUCACUCGAAGGAGGGGAAUCGCGUCUGAAUAGCUAGUUCGGUGGGGUAACGGCCUACCAAGAACGAAUGAUCAGUAGCCGGACUGAGAGGUUCGAAACGGCCACAUUCGGGACUGAGAUACGGCCCAGAACUCCUACGGGAGGCAGCAGUCGGGAAAUAUUCGCGCAAUGGAGGAAAACUCUGAUGCAGUGACCGCCGCGUGCAGGAAGAAGGGUUUUCGGAAUUGUAAACUCGCUUUUAACAGGAAAGAAAAAAAAUGACGGUACCUGUUGAAUAAGCUCCGGCUAACUACGUGCCAGCCAGCCGCGGUAAUACGUAGGGAGCGAGCGUUAUCCGGAUUAUUGGGUGUAAAGGGUGCGUAGACGGAAAUGCAAGUUAGUUGUGAAAUACCUCGGCUUAACUUGAGGAACUGCAACUAAAACUAUAUUUUCUUGAGUAUCGGAGGGGUUUGUGGAAUUCCUAGUGUAGCGGUGAAAUGCGUAGAUAUUAGGAAGAACACCGGUGGCGAAGGCGACAAACUGGACGAUAACUGACGUUGAGGCACGAAAGUGUGGGGAGCAAACAGGAUUAGAUACCCUGGUAGUCCACACCGUAAACGAUGAGUGCUAGGUGUUAGACCCUUUCCGGGGUUUAGUGCCGCAGCUAACGCAUUAAGCACUCCGCCUGGGGAGUACGACCGCAAGGUUGAAACUCAAAGGAAUUGACGGGGGCCCGCACAAGCGGUGGAGCAUGUGGUUUAAUUCGAAGCAACGCGAAGAACCUUACCAGGUCUUGACAUCCCUCUGACCGCUCUAGAGAUAGAGUUUUCCUUCGGGACAGAGGUGACAGGUGGUGCAUGGUUGUCGUCAGCUCGUGUCGUGAGAUGUUGGGUUAAGUCCCGCAACGAGCGCAACCCCUAUUGUUAGUUGCCAUCAUUCAGUUGGGCACUCUAGCGAGACUGCCGGUAAUAAACCGGAGGAAGGUGGGGAUGACGUCAAAUCAUCAUGCCCCUUAUGACCUGGGCUACACACGUGCUACAAUGGCUGGUACAACGAGUCGCAAGCCGGUGACGGCAAGCUAAUCUCUUAAAGCCAGUCUCAGUUCGGAUUGUAGGCUGCAACUCGCCUACAUGAAGUCGGAAUCGCUAGUAAUCGCGGAUCAGCACGCCGCGGUGAAUACGUUCCCGGGCCUUGUACACACCGCCCGUC
rnacentral:rRNA from 1 species